rnacentral:rRNA from 1 species
CAGCAGCCGCGGUAAUACGAGGGGAGCUAGCGUUGUUCGGAAUUACUGGGCGUAAAGCGCGCGUAGGCGGCUUUUUAAGUCAGAGGUGAAAGCCCGGGGCUCAACCCCGGAAUUGCCUUUGAAACUGGAAAGCUAGAAUCUUGGAGAGGUCAGUGGAAUUCCGAGUGUAGAGGUGAAAUUCGUAGAUAUUCGGAAGAACACCAGUGGCGAAGGCGACUGACUGGACAAGUAUUGACGCUGAGGUGCGAAAGCGUGGGGAGCAAACAGGAUUAGAUACCCGGGUAGUCCCUGUCUCUUAUAC